GUGUCAGCAGCCGCGGUAAUACGUAGGGUGCGAGCGUUGUCCGGAAUUACUGGGCGUAAAGAGCUCGUAGGCGGUUUGUCACGUCGUCUGUGAAAUCCUAGGGCUUAACCCUGGACGUGCAGGCGAUACGGGCUGACUUGAGUACUACAGGGGAGACUGGAAUUUCUGGUGUAGCGGUGGAAUGCACAGAUAUCAGGAAGAACACCGAUGGCGAAGGCAGGUCUCUGGGUAGUAACUGACGCUGAGGAGCGAAAGCAUGGGUAGCGAACAGGAUUAGAUACCCUGGUAGUCCAUGCCGUAAACGGUGGGCGCUAGGUGUGGGGUUCCUUCCACGGGCUCCGCGCCGUAGCUAACGCAUUAAGCGCCCCGCCUGGGGAGUACGGCCGCAAGGCUAAA
rnacentral:rRNA from 1 species